rnacentral:rRNA from 1 species
GACAGAGGGUGCAAACGUUGUUCGGAAUUACUGGGCGUAAAGCGCGUGUAGGCUGCCUUGCAAGUCGGGUGUGAAAGCCCUGGGCUCAACCUAGGAAGUGCACUCGAAACUGCAAGGCUGGAGUCCUGGAGAGGAAGGCGGAAUUCUCGGUGUAGCGGUGAAAUGCGUAGAGAUCGGGAAGAACACCAGUGGCGAAAGCGCUCUGCUGGACCUGCACUGACACUGAGGGACGAAAGCUAGGGGAGCGAAUGGG